rnacentral:RNase_P_RNA from 1 species
UGAGUGCGAUAAGUGUUCGCAGCUGCAUUUGCCGAAAGGCAGCAGGUGAGGAAAGUCCGGGCUUCAUAGGGCAGGAUGCCUGAUAACGUCAGGUGGGAGUGAUCCUAAGGAAAGUGCAACAGAAAUAUACCGCCAAGGUUUCCUUGGUAAGGUUGGAAGGGCAGUGUAAGAGACUACCGCAUCUCUGGUAACAGAGGUGGCAAUGUAAACCCCAUCCGAAGCAAGACCGAAGAAAGACUAUGAGGCUGCCCGUCUCGUCUUAGGUAGGUCGCUUGAUUUUAUUGGUGACGAUAAAACUAGAUAGAUGAACACUCACGACAUAACCCGGCUUAUCGUUGCACUCAUAUU